UCCCCUCUGUAGGUGAUUCUCAUUCUGACAAAGCUCUACGACUUCAACCUGGGGAGUGUUACGGAGAGUUCACUGUGGAGGUCAACAGACUAUGGCACUACCUAUGAAAAGCUAAAUGACAAAGUAGGCCUGAAGACUGUGCUGAGCUACCUAUAUGUCAGUCCCACUAACAAGAGAAAGAUCAUGCUUCUUAGUGAUCCAGAGAUUGAGAGCAGCAUCCUCAUCAGCUCUGAUGAAGGGGCUACCUACCAGAAGUAUCGUUUGAACUUCUAUAUCCAGAGCUUGCUCUUCCACCCCAGGCAGGAGGAGUGGAUCUUGGCCUACAGUCUGGAUCAA